GACGAACGCUGGCGGCGUGCCUAAUACAUGCAAGUAGGACGCAGUUGCGAACGGGUGAGUAACGCGUAGGUAACUACCUAUUAGAGGGGGAUAACUAUUGGAAACGAUAGCUAAACCCGCAUACUAGUUGAUGGACCUGCGUUUUAUUAGCUAGUAGGUAGGGUAAUGGCCUACCUAGGCAACGAUACAUAGCCGACCUGGGAGGGUGGUCGGCCAAACUGGGAAUUGGACAAGGCCCAGACUCCGACGGGGAGCAGCAGGAGGGAAACUUCGGGAAUGGGGGGAAACCUGACCGGGCAACGCCGCGUGAGUGAAGAAGGUUUUCGGAUCGUAAAGCUCUGUUGUUAAGGAAGCGGUACUUAACCAGAAAGGGACGGCUAACUACGUGCCAGCAGCCGCGGUAAUUC
rnacentral:rRNA from 1 species